rnacentral:rRNA from 1 species
GACGAAGGUGGCUAGCGUUGCUCGGAUUUACUGGGCAUAAAGCGCGCGUAGGUGGUCGUGUAAGCGGGGGGUGAAAGCCCAUGGCUCACCCAUGGAACUGUCCCCCGGACUGCACGGCUCGAGGAAGGAAGGGGAGAAUGGAAUUCCCGGUGUAGCGGUGAAAUGCGUAGAUAUCGGGAGGAACGCCGGUGGCGAAAGCGAUUCUCUGGUCCUUUCCUGACACUGAGGCGCGAAAGCUAGGGGAGCAAACAGG